GCGCCCGUGGUGAAAUGGAUAUCACAACAGACUUCGGAUCUGUUAGUGGGGGUUCGAUUCCCUCCGGGCGCA
rnacentral:tRNA from 1 species